rnacentral:rRNA from 1 species
UACGGAGGGUGCAAGCAUUAAUCGGAUUUAUUGGGCGUAAAGGGCGCGUAGGCGGGGAAUCAAGUCAGAUGUGAAAUCCCGGGGCUCAACCUCGGAACUGCAUUUGAAACUGGUUCUCUUGAGGGUAGGCGGAGAAAACGGAAUUCCACAAGUAGCGGUGAAAUGCGUAGAUAUGUGGAAGAACACCGGUGGCGAAGGCGGUUUUCUAGCUUAUACCUGACGCUGAGGCGCGAAAGCAAGGGGAUCAAACAGG